rnacentral:rRNA from 1 species
UACGUAGGGGGCAAGCGUUGUCCGGAUUUAUUGGGCGUAAAGAGCGUGUAGGCGGUUUGGUAGGUCCGCUGUGAAAAACUCGAGGCUCAACCUCGAGACGCCGGUGGAAACCAUCAGACUAGAGUCCGGAAGAGGAGAGUGGAAUUCCUGGUGUAGCGGUGAAAUGCGCAGAUAUCAGGAAGAACACCCGUGCUAAGGCGGCUCUCUAGUACGGUACUGAACGCUGAGACGCGAAAAGCGUGGGGAGCGAACAGG